AUGAACCUGGAGCGGCUGCGGAAGCACAUCCGACAGUACCUGGACCAGCAACAGUAUCAAAGUGCUCUAUUUGGGGCAGAUAAAGUAGCUUCACUCUCUCAUGAGGAACCCCAGGACAUUUAUUGGUUGGCUCAGUGUCUGUACCUAACAGCACAAUAUCAUAGAGCAGCUCAUGCACUUCGGUCACGAAAACUGGACAAACUAUAUGAAGCAUGUCGCUACCUUGCAGCUAGAUGACAUUAUGCUGCAAAAGAGCAUCAGCAGGCUCUUGAUAUUCUUGAUAUGGAGGAGCCAAUCAACAAAAGGUUAUUUGAGAAAUACUUGAAGGAUGAAAGUGGCUUGAAAGACCCCUCCAGUGACUGGGAAAUGUCACAGUCUUCGAUAAAGAGUUCUAUUUGUCUCCUACGAGGGAAGAUCUACGAUGCCCUGGAUAACCGAGCUCUAGCUACCUAUAGCUAGCUACAAAGAAGCUUUGAAGCUCGAUGCCUACUGUUUUGAAGCAUUUGAUCUUUUAACAUCACAUCACAUGUUGACAGCCCAAGAAGAAAAAGAACUUCUUGAGUCACUACCUCUUAGCAAGCUCUGUACUGAAGAACAGGAAUUGCUAUGCUUUCUCUUUGAGAACAAAUUAAAAAAGUAUAAUAAACCUAGUGAAACUGUCCUCCCCGAGUCUGUAGAUGGUUUGCAAGAGAAUCUGGAUGUGGUAGUGUCAAAGACAUUAUUAUAACUGUGAUUUUAAAAUGUGCUACAAGCUUACUUCUGUAGUAAUGGAGAAAGAUCCUUUCCAUGCAAACUGUUUACCUGUACAUAUAGGGACACUUGUGGAGCUGAAUAAAGCAAAUGAACUUUUCUAUCUUUCUCAUAAGUUGGUGAAUCUAUAUCCUAGUAAUCCUGUGUCUUGGUUUGCAGUGGGAUGCUACUAUCUCAUGGUUGGUCAUAAAAAUGAACAUGCCAGAAGAUAUCUCAGCAAAGCAACAACACUUGAGAAGACUUACGGGCCUGUGUGGGUAGCAUACGGGCACUCGUUUGCAGUGGAGAGUAAGCACGACCAGGCCAUGGCUGCCUACUUCACGGCCGCACAGCUGAUGAAAGGGUAUUUGCCAAUGCUGUACAUCGGAUUAGAAUACGGAUUGACCAAUAACUCAAAAUUGGCUGAAAGAUUCUUUGGCCAAGCACUAAGCAUUGCACCAGAAGACCCAUUUGUUAUGCACGAGGUUGGCGUGGUUGCGUUUCAGAACAGAGAAUGGAAAACAGCAGAAAAAUGGUUCCUUGAUGCUUUGGAAAAAAUUAAAGCAAUUGGAAAUGAGGUAACAGUUGACAAAUGGGAGCCUUUGUUGAACAACUUGGGGCAUGUCUGCAGGAAGCUUAAAAAGUAUGCCGAGGCCUUGGACUAUCACCAUCAGGCGCUGGUGUUAAUUCUCCAGAACGCAUCCACGUAUUCUGCCAUAGGGUAUAUCCAUAGUCUGAUGGGCAACUUUGAAAAUGCUGUUGACUAUUUCCACACAGCUCUUGGUCUUAGGCGAGAAGAUACAUUUUCUGUUACAAUGCUUGGUCAUUGCAUUGAGAUGUACAUUGGUGAUUCUGAAGCUUACAUUGGAGCAGACAUUAAAGACAAAUUAAAAUGCUAUGAUUUUGAUGUGCAUACAAUGAAGACACUAAAAAACAUUAUUUCACCUCCAUGGGAUUUCAGGGAAUUUGAAGUAGAAAAACAGACUACAGAAGAAACAGGGCUUGCACCACUAGAAACCUCAAGGAAAACUCCAGAUCCCAGAUCUUCCUUGGAAGAAACCUUCGAAAUUGAAAUGAACGAAAGUGACAUGAUGCUGGAGACCUCUAUGUCAGACCACAGCACAUGAUUGCAGACAGCUCUCAGCUCCAUUUUGUCCUGGGGGAGGUCAGGGUUUCCUCACAUCCUUGUCCUAUCUUCAGAAUUCCCCAUUUCUUGACACAAAGGCAGACUGCACCUCUCCGUUUAGGCAUAGAGACGUGCUGGAAGAGACCGGACUGCACACCUUUGCAACACAUGUUUUCUGAUCCUACAAAACAAUUCUGUGUAGAGGAAUAAAGAGGUAAAUUGUGUAUU